GGGAAUGUGGCUUAGUGGUAGAGUGCUUGCCUAGCAGGCAUGAAGCCCUGGGUUCGAUUCCUUAGUACCA
rnacentral:tRNA from 1 species